GACGAACGCUGGCGGCGUGCUUAACACAUGCAAGUCGAACGGAAAGGCCCUGCUUUUGUGGGGUGCUCGAGUGGCGAACGGGUGAGUAACACGUGAGUAACCUGCCCUUGACUUUGGGAUAACUUCAGGAAACUGGGGCUAAUACCGGAUAGGAGCUCCGGCUGCAGGGUGGGGGUGGGAAAGUUUCGGCGGUUGGGGAUGGACUCGCGGCUUAUCAGCUUGUUGGUGGGGUAGUGGCUUACCAAGGCUUUGACGGGUAGCCGGCCUGAGAGGGUGACCGGCCACAUUGGGACUGAGAUACGGCCCAGACUCCUACGGGAGGCAGCAGUGGGGAAUAUUGCACAAUGGGCGGAAGCCUGAUGCAGCAACGCCGCGUGCGGGAUGACGGCCUUCGGGUUGUAAACCGCUUUCGCCUGUGACGAAGCGUGGGUGACGGUAAUGGGUAAAGAAGCACCGGCUAACUACGUG
rnacentral:rRNA from 1 species